AGAAAUUUUGCAGGUGCAAUUAAGUUAGCCAAUCAAUAAACCUAACAAUCGAGAGAUUAUCCAGGUGGGCCUGACUUAAUCAUAUAAACUCUUUAAAUCUGGGUGUAGAGGUUAGCGACAGAGAAAUCAGAUACUAGAUGCAUCCUUUCUGACUUGAAGAUGAAGGCAAUUUUGUGACAAGUGAUGCUGGUGGCAUGUAAGACCUGUAAGCAGGCCCCAGCUGACAGUCCGUUAGAAAGGAAACAGGGGCUGCAGUUCUCCAACUGCAAAACACGGAAUUUUGCUUGAAAUUUAACUUGGAAGCAGACUUUCUCCCAGAGCUUCUAGAUGAAAACUCAGCCUGGCCAACCCCUUGGUGUCAGCUUUGUGUUACCCUGAGCAGGUACCCAAGACAUAUGGUUCUGGACUGUGGACCCACGGAAAGGGUGAGCAUCCACAUCUACCACCCGUGACCAGACUUCUCCACCUGUUGGCGAGCUUAAGUUAAAGUUAUCAAUAUAUGCCCCAAAACAGCAAUCACCUGGAUGAGAAGCAGAUGACAUCUAAUGUAGACUGUGAAUCCCAAGACACAGACCAGACACAAUACACAGCCAAUGGGAUGCUCACAAGAUGCCAUUCACCCAACAAUAGCGAGCUUUGCACUCAUUCUCUCUUAAUGGUCUAUGAAGAGCAGGUGAGAAAUUCCUCAAACCUGCAUCUGGAUGUCUAUUUGCUACCCCUGAUCUUUGGGAUUAUAAACUCCAGCCUCCAAGAAGUGGUGCCUGAAAACCAGGGCCAGUGCCAGGGAAACUGCCUCCUAAGUGGACUGUGACACUUUAUAAACCAACCAGAGGGUGUCAUUUCAGUGCUCAAUUUUCUCCAUCCAUGAAAUAAAAAUAAAAAAUUUAUUAAAAAAUGUGACUACAGAAAAGAGACUCUUAGAAUUUUACUCUCAAACUGGAUCUUUCAUUAAUCAGAUUGAGACAAGAGCUGAUUGUCAGUGACGUGGUGAAAACCAGCAUGCUGUAGCAUCAGCUGCAGUGGACUGGAAGGAGCCACAGGUGGAAAGGGAAGCAUUGGCUUUUGCGGAAGCUCUAGAACUUGAAUGGAAUGAGGGGAAUGUUUAAGAUUGUGUAGAUCUGACUAAGUUAGAAGUCUUGAACAGAGAAUGACAGGCUCAAGUUAGUCA
rnacentral:lncRNA from 1 species